AUUCUUUCGCAGUGGCAGUAUAGUAGCCUUUAAGGUUUAUCCGAAGCGUGAUCAUUGCUGGUUGAAAACUUAACCCAAUACCCCGUCAUGACGACUUGAAAUAUAGUCGGAAAUGUCAAUUUUUGACGAUUUCCAAGGACA